UAAGUAAGCGGAGGAAGCUAAACUAAACAGGACUUUCUGAGUAAUGGCGAAUGAACAGGAAAUUGCACAGCAUGGGAAAUGGAGCCUUUGGCUUUGAUGUGUAGUGUGGAUCUGUGUUGCCAACAAGGGAGCAGAUAUAAGCCUCUUGGAACAGAGCACUAAUGAAGGUGAGAGUCCUUGUAGAGUAUCUGCAACCGCUUGUGCACGGCAUGCAAUAUGAGAGUCACGUUCCUUGGGAUUGGAGCGCAAAGUGGGUGGUAAGCUUCAUCUAAUGCUCUAUAUGUAUUCGAGACCAAUAGUGCACAAGUACCAUGAGGGAAAAAUGAAAAGGACUUUGGAAAGAGAGUUAAAAGUAAUUGAACUUGCUGAAUGGGAAGCUGAUGGGAGCAGUGAAGCUGAGCAAUUCUUCCACAUCUUGCACAUUGCAGGUCAGCUCCCAUGUACAUGGAACCAGAUCUGUGCAUGGUGCUUUUUGUGGUGUCUUUUGCUCUGUCUGUCAUAAGCGAUUCUCAAGUACGGAAUCUUGCCGCAUAAUGCACUGCCUUGCUGUGGGAAGGCAAUGAUGUGCUGCUUAACUCAAUUGAGAAUUCAUGAUGCAUUGUUCAAAUAUGCUGCGCGUUGUCUGGCACCUUGCGCUUGCACUUGCCUUGCCUUCUCGUAGGUAGCGAACAAUUGAAAGUGACAACAUGAUUUCAUCUGACCCG
rnacentral:rRNA from 1 species